UACGUAGGGGGCAAGCGUUGUCCGGAUUUAUUGGGCGUAAAGAGCGUGUAGGCGGCUAGGUAGGUCCGUUGUGAAAACUCGAGGCUCAACCUCGAGACGCCGAUGGAAACCAUCUGGCUAGAGUCCGGAAGAGGAGAGUGGAAUUCCUGGUGUAGCGGUGAAAUGCGCAGAUAUCAGGAAGAACACCGGUGGCGAAGGCGCUCAUCUGGCCCAAUACUGACGCUGAGGCGCGAAAGCUAGGGGAGCAAACGGG
rnacentral:rRNA from 1 species